CCUGGGGCAGGUAAACAUGCAUUGGGCCAGUGGAUCUAGUCAGUCACUGGCCUGGGGCAGGUAAACAUGCAUUGGGCCAGUGGAUCUAGUCAGUCACUGGCCUGGGGCAGGUAAACAUGCAUUGGGCCAGUGGAUCUAGUCAGUCACUGGCCUGGGGCAGGUAAACAUGCAUUGGGCCAGUGGAUCUAGUCAGUCACUGGCCUGGGGCAGGUAAACAUGCAUUGGGCCAGUGGAUCUAGUCAGUCACUGGCCUGGGGCAGGUAAACAUGCAUUGGGCCAGUGGAUCUAGUCAGUCACUGGCCUGGGGCAGGUAAACAUGCAUUGGGCCAGUGGAUCUAGUCAGUCACUGGCCUGGGGCAGGUAAACAUGCAUUGGGCCAGUGGAUCUAGUCAGUCACUGGCCUGGGGCAGGUAAACAUGCAUUGGGCCAGUGGAUCUAGUCAGUCACUGGCCUGGGGCAGGUAAACAUGCAUUGGGCCAGUGGAUCUAGUCAGUCACUGGCCUGGGGCAGGUAAACAUGCAUUGGGCCAGUGGAUCUAGUCAGUC